rnacentral:lncRNA from 1 species
GUUGCGGGGCCGCGGCGGCGGCGCCAUGUUGCCGAGGGGGGCGGGGCCGGGACAUGGCGGCGACUGCGCGUGUUGAGGCUGAUUGUUCCUAGCUAGGCCGCGGCCAUGUGGGAGCCGCUGUGGCCGCCGGCCGUGCGGGCGAGAAAAUGCGCGGCCCGAAAGCGAGGACGCGCUGUACUAAACAAGCAAGCACUAGGGGAAAAAACUUCAAAGGUCGAUGCUACAGAAUUUGCCCUGAAGAAUAAAGAUUUGUUGUAUGAAAGGAUGGCAAAACACUUUUGAAUGAGAAGAAUCUGUUCAUGUUAGAGUAAUGUCAAAGUGCUUACAGUGCAGUGGUCUAUUGCACACAGAUAGGCUUCUUUUGGCAUUUUGAUACGGAAACAGAGUGAGCAAAGAGCACUUGAAGAUGCAUAUAACUACAGAAUCACAGCAAAAACCUUUCUAUAUCAACCUUUCUGUUGAUAUAGUGGCCAACCAGUUGUUUAUAGAAAGCCCACAAGCAUGACCUGAAAAUAUUUAAAACAUUGCUGUAGAUAUCAUCGGUGCUUCAGGGGCCAGAAGUCUUGGAGUCUGGUUCAGAUGGAGCAGAGAAGAUUCGGCACUUCAGUUUCAUGCUUCCCCUGAAUCCCAGCUUGUGACUGUUCCUUUUGAAGGGGUACUUGAAUUUAUAUUUUGAGAUCUACAGCAUGGUUAGUAUAAUGAGGAAUAAAUAGCUGGUUGAAAUUGGGAGUGGGGCUAGA